rnacentral:lncRNA from 1 species
UUCAGCCGAUACGCGAAACAUUGUUACUGAUCUGUCGAGAUGACAAUUGUAGCUGGAAUGAAAUAAAUGACUUCUGGCGUAUAAGUCCAGCGUAACGCCCUCACGUUCCGGAACUUCCCUCCCCCGCUGCUCCUGCACUGUGGCCGUAAGGACAGGCUAGCUUAACAGACACUAUAGCGUAUAAAUUUAUUUCUCUAUAUUAUUAAGGUUACGGUGUUUCAAGCUGCGAACACAAUUCCCAGACAAGUCAACUCUUUCUCUGAAGUGUUUUACCGGUAAACCUAUCCCCAUCGAGGGCUUAUUCUUUUUUAUUGUGGCUACCAUUACAUCAUGCAUGGGUGGCAGAUGCAUCACAAGGACCUAUUCCGCUCAUGUUAGCGGUCCGCCAUCCACGACCAAGACCUCACCGCAAACAAGGUGAGGUUUGCAACUUCCAGGCUCGUACGCCACGCACCCUCACCGCCGCAGUUGCUCGCGGAUCCGCAGGGUGCGCUGUGGUCCCCCAACAAUAACCAACGUCUUGUUCAGCAAAGGUGAAGGAUGCGAGGCCGUACCUUCGGGACAAGACAGCCCCAGCUGUUAAAACCACUGGGUCAAACAUGAUUAAAUUAGAUUUCGAGGCGGACGAAGGGUGUGGUGGAUCCGGAGGCCCCGCAGCAAGGGGCACUUUAGACUGUCAGCAUGCUCCUUAUGUCCACAGCACUCCGCGCAAGGUAGUUUUGACAUGACGAGUCGUAAACGUAAACCCCUUGCCGGCUGUGAAAUGCAUAGGAUGCGCACAACACAACGAGGCUUGGCGGGGUUAACCGAGGACGUCUGCAGUGCUAGCGUGACGCAGAAGCCGACUCGCGGAAUUUGCUCAGCAUGAUUAAUAUGUUACAGCACAACCCUGCCAUGCUAGCUUGGGUCAACAUGCACAAAAAGGCUGCCUCCAGCUCACAUGUUUCGGCAUAUUUCUUGGUUUAAGGUCCAUCCAUGUCUCACUGUUAAAAUCCAACACACGCACAGAAAAGUCAGGAUUUCAAAUCAUGCACAAAUCCUCCCUACCCCAGCAGUGUCGCAGUUAUGUUGCUCGUAAGUUAUCAAUUUUAUAACCCCGGUGAGCACC